GUGCCUAUACCAAGUAAUACCCACACAUAUUUAUAGGUGCGAGUUUGUUUAGCUUAUUGUCACUUGGGGAGUUGAGUGAAAUCGAAAACACCAGAAACGGAAAUCACUUAAAUGGAAAUCUAUAAAAUCAUCGGGAAUCGGGAUUGAAAUUUCAGUAGAUGCCGAUACAGCUAUUAAUAUGUAUUACCCCACAACUCCUUAGACGAAGGGUAUUCGAGAUGACAUGAUAUCCCAGUCAAAACUUAAGGACAUGUGUACUUUGCCCUCGGAUGAGAAACUUUGCAAAGAUUUAUAUGUAAAGAGAACCUCUGUUAUGAUAAGAUUAGAUUGUAAAGGGACUUUUUGCUUUUUCGCAUUUGGAAACCAUUGCGAAAUUCAAGACGUUCACCCAAACGAAUGGUAGCGAAAAAUACUUAGUACACCUUACUCCAUCACAUUGUAAAUUAACUUAUCUUAAAGAGUUGUAAAAUUUUAAAUUGGGCAAAAAACCUCACACAAAUUCAUAAAACGCAGUUCAAAACGUA